CCAAAGGCUCUUUUAAGAGCCACCCAUGUUUUCGUAUUGAGGGCUU
rfam:Danio rerio chromosome 7, GRCz11 reference primary assembly.